GUUGUGGCUCAGUGGUAGAGCAUCUGCUUGGCAUGCAAAAGUUCCCAGGUUCAAUCCUGAGCAUCUCCC
rnacentral:tRNA from 1 species